rnacentral:rRNA from 1 species
CCUACGGGAGGCAGCAGUGAGGAAUAUUGGUCAAUGGACGGAAGUCUGAACCAGCCAUGCCGCGUGCAGGAUGACGGCUCUACGAGUUGUAAACUGCUUUUGUACAAGGGUAAACCUGAAUACGUGUAUUCCGCUGAAAGUACUGUACGAAUAAGGAUCGGCUAACUCCGUGCCAGCAGCCGCGGUAAUACGGAGGGUGCGAGCGUUAAUCGGAAUUACUGGGUGUAAAGCGCUGGUAGGCGGGAUGUCAGGUCUAGGGUGAAAUCCCCGCGCUCAACGUGGGAAAUGCCUUUGAAACGGGCAACUGGAGUGUGUGAGAGGAUAGUGGAAUUCCAGGUGUAGGAGUGAAAUGCGUAGAUAUCUGGAGGAACAUCAGUGGCGAAGGCGACUGUCUGGCGCAUAACUGACGCUGAGGAGCGAAAGCGCGGGUAGCAAACAGGAUUAGAUACCCUUGUAGUC